UCUGUCACUGGGCAAGCCUAUAGGCCCCAGCCGGAAUACAUUCAGUUUGCAGCCAGAGCUCGUCUGGGGCACAACAACUUCUUUUUCGGCUUAAAAAUGUUUCAAAAAUUAUCAAAAUUCUCAGUGAAAAAGAAGCAUUCUAGAACUUGUGUUCUAUUAGGAAUUACAGAAACUACUUUAAUUUGAAGGACUUAAAUCGAGGGAAGACACAAUGGUUGGUUUUAUCGUAUAGGUUUAUCGUUUUUGUACGUACACUGUGGUAUCUUGUGUAAUACCCCCAGAGAAUCUGUUUGAUGGAACCCGUCUCAAUGUGACGUGAAGUCUGGCAUCGGGAUUCGCGGAUAACCCUUUUUAUAAAUAAAAAAAAUGGUCCAAGAUUGUCAAUUGAAA